CUCUGAUCCAGCCAUGCCGCGUGAAGGAAUAAGGCCCUAUGGGUCGUAAACUUCUUUUAGACGGGACAAAACCCCUUUACGUGUAAAGGGUUGAUGGUACUGUCAGAAUAAGCAUCGGCUAACUUCGUGCCAGCAGCCGCGGUAAUACGAAGGAUGCAAGCGUUAUCCGGAAUUAUUGGGUUUAAAGGGUGCGUAGGCGGACUAAUAAGUCAGUGGUGAAAGCCUGCAGCUUAACUGCAGAAUUGUCAUUGAUACUGUGAGUCUUGAGUACAGUUGAUGUAGGCGGAAUGUGUCAUGUAGCGGUGAAAUGCUUAGAUAUGACAC
rnacentral:rRNA from 1 species